CUAUGUUGUAUCGCCGCUAUUCGGCUAUGGGCUGAUGGUGUGUGUUUGAUUCGGUUCGGUGUGUGAGUGGAAGUUUGUCAAUGUGUUGGUCAUGCAGUAUGUAUCAGUGGAUAACAUGUGUUGGCCCCCCAACAAAGUGUUGGGUUAGUGGAGUACAUAAACGAAAUAAACACAAACCUGCAUGCGGCAUACAUAAUUUAUAAUGGGCCAUUAUAGGCCAUUCAUUGGAAUAAUUUAUUAGCGCUUCACGUACUGUACUACAGUUCUAUGUCGUCUGCAGCGUAGAUUAGCUUUGGACAUUAUAUACAAUGUUGUCGCGUGUAUGACAACAUUUAUGGUAAAACUAUUGAAGUAAAAGAUUUUGAGACCAUUUGUAAAGACAAAUAGGAAAUUCGAUAAUUAUACGGGUUUGCUGUCUAUGAAAGAGUUUCAUAAAAUUUGGCUUUAGAUCAUGAGUCCAAUGCAAUCCUCAAUCGUUGACAAUACGGAAACUAGCGAAUGAUUUUAUGUUCAAAAGAAAAUUACCUCGAAAAUUGUCAACUGAAGAAUUAUCACGGCUCUUUUGGAUCCUUCCUGAAAUCAAUACCAGACGCAAAAUCACAAUAAGUUUGACUUUUCACAUUUUCUUUAUUUAUUCAGUCUAAGCCUAGGUUCUAUUAUGUAGAUGGUAAAAAAUAAAAUAAACAUUCGUUUAAGUGGAUAAAAACAAACGAUGAUAAUCAUUGGCACCAAAAGCACAGUUGCAUUUCGGGCAUUUACGCUGGCGUGU